rnacentral:rRNA from 1 species
UACGUAGGUGGCGAGCGUUGUCCGGAUUUACUGGGCGUAAAGGGCGUGCAGGCGGUUUGCUAAGUCUAGGGUGAAAGCUCCCGGCUCAACUGGGAGAGGUCCUUGGAUACUGACAGACUUGAGGGAGGCAGAGGAGAAUGGAAUUCCCGGUGUAGUGGUGAUAUGCGUAGAUAUCGGGAGGAACACCAGUGGCGAAGGCGACUACCUGGCCUGUUCUUGACGCUGAGGCGCGAAAGCUAGGGGAGCAAACGGG